UACGUAGGUGGCAAGCGUUGUCCGGAUUUACUGGGCGUAAAGAGCGCGCAGGCGGUCGUUCAAGUCGCGUGUGAAAGCCCCCGGCUCAACUGGGGAGGGUCACGCGAUACUGAUCGACUCGAAGGCAGGAGAGGGUAGUGGAAUUCCCGGUGUAGUGGUGAAAUGCGUAGAUAUACGGAGGAACACCAGAGGCGAAGGCGGAUCGCUGGGCCAACACUGACGCUGAGACGCGAAAGCUAGGGGAGCAAACGGG
rnacentral:rRNA from 1 species